rnacentral:rRNA from 1 species
AACAUCGGAACGUGCCCAAUCGUGGGGGAGUAACGCAGCGAAAGCUGUGCUAAUACCGCAUACGAUCUACGGAUGAAAGCAGGGGAUCGCAAGACCUUGCGCGAAUGGAGCGGCCGAUGGCAGAUUAGGUAGUUGGUGAGGUAAAGGCUCACCAAGCCUUCGAUCUGUAGCUGGUCUGAGAGGACGACCAGCCACACUGGGACUGAGACACGGCCCAGACUCCUACGGGAGGCAGCAGGC